AAUGUCUAACUUUUGCAGCAAAGAUCAUCGAUGAAUAGAAGGCCUUCAUUUAUGAAAACCAUCUUUGCUUCGGUUUCUUAAGAAAAGGCCACACUACCAAAAACUGCAAAGGAAGACACACGUGUAGUAUAUGUAGUCGACGUUAUCCAACCUGUUUGCACAUACAGAGAAACACAGAACCUGUUAAAACACAAAGCAAUGAUCCAGUAGCCACGGGAAAUAAGGCAAAUGAUAACCUUCCCAAAGUUAUGUCCCAUAAAUUGACAAGGCAUUCUUUUGCUACAUCUUGCAUUGUUCCAGUCCUGUUGUCAGCUGCAGCGAAGCCUCAGAGAGAAAUCCUCAUUUAUGCCUUACUUAACACACAGAGUGAUUCAACCUUUAUUUUGGCAGACCUAGUAUCAAAGCUAAUUGUGAGCACCCAACCGCUAC